rnacentral:rRNA from 1 species
ACUUGCUUCAGUAACACGUGGACAACUUACCCUUAAGUCUGGGAUAACCCCGGGAAACUGGGGAUAAUACCGGAUAUAUCAUCUUUGCUGGAAUGCUUGUUGGUUGAAAUGUCCGGACGUCUUGGGUGGGACUGGGGGUGAAUAAGGUGUUGGCGGUGUAACGUGCCGACCAGGCCGGAAUCCUGACGGGUUGGGGAGAGCAGAGCCCCGAAAAGGAUUCUGAAAAACGAAUCCCAGGCCUACGGGGCGCAGCAGGCGCGAAAACUCUACAAUGGCACGAACUGCGACGGGGAACAUCGAGUGAUCCUCAUUUGGGGGGUGUUUCCUGUCUAAAAAACGUUUGGUAAUAAGAGCUGGGCAAGACCGGUGCCAGCCGCCGCGGUAAUACCGGCGGCUCGAGUGGUGGCCGUUAUUAUUGAGCCUAAAGGGUCCGUAGCCGGCUUGGUAAGUCUCUGGUGAAAUCUCGCGGCUUAACCGUGGGAAGUGCUGGAGAUACUAUAAUGCUUGAGACUGGGAGAGGUAAGAGGUACUCCCAGGGUAGGAGUGAAAUCCUGUAAUCCUGUGAGGACCACCUGUGGCGAAGGCGUCCUACCUGAAACAGAACCUGACGGUGAGGGACGAAAGCUCAGGGGCGCGAAACCGGAUUAGAUACCCGGGUAGUCCUAGCCGUAAACGAUGCUCGACUAUGUGUCUGAACUGUCUUCGAUCUGUUGUCGAGUGCCGUAAGGGAAGCUGUGUAAGCUGUACGCAGCUCUGGGAAGUACGAGUCGCAAGAUCUGAAACUUAAAAGGAAUUGGCGGGGGGAAGCA